CCUUGCUUGCUUGUUCAAAAUUUGCAAAAAAUAAUUCAGUACCUCUUAUGCAUUUCCAUUUAAAAUUUAAACUAACUUUAUCCUAUAAGAGUCUAAUUUCUGAUAGCAGUCUAAUCACUGCAAGUCUCUUAAUUACUGUUGAUUACACCUCCAACAUUAAUGACUAUUGCUUAAAUGGCUCCUAUUUGAACAAUUGCAACAUGAAAAUGAACUCCAAGCAAAAGAUUACAAUCAAAACUUAUAACAACUCAAACAAUCG
rnacentral:misc_RNA from 1 species